AAAUUGAAGAGUUUGAUCAUGGCUCAGAUUGAACGCUGGCGGCAGGCCUAACACAUGCAAGUCGAACGGUAGCACAGAGAGCUUGCUCUCGGGUGACGAGUGGCGGACGGGUGAGUAAUGUCUGGGAAACUGCCCGAUGGAGGGGGAUAACUACUGGAAACGGUAGCUAAUACCGCAUAACGUCGCAAGACCAAAGUGGGGGACCUUCGGGCCUCACACCAUCGGAUGUGCCCAGAUGGGAUUAGCUAGUAGGUGGGGUAACGGCUCACCUAGGCGACGAUCCCUAGCUGGUCUGAGA
rnacentral:rRNA from 1 species